rnacentral:rRNA from 1 species
GACGAACGCUGGCGGCGUGCCUAAUACAUGCAAGUCGAACGAGAGCAACCGGUGCUUGCACUGGUCAAUCUAGUGGCGAACGGGUGAGUAACACGUGGGUAACCUGCCCAUCAGAGGGGGAUAACAUCCGGAAACGGAUGCUAAAACCGCAUAGGUCUUCGAACCGCAUGGUUUGAAGAGGAAAAGAGGCGCAAGCUUCUGCUGAUGGAUGGACCCGCGGUGCAUUAGCUAGUUGGUGAGGGAACGGCUCACCAAGGCCGUGAUGCAUAGCCGACCUGAGAGGGUGAUCGGCCACCUUGGGACUGAGACACGGCCCACACUCCUACGGGAGGCAGCAGUAGGGAAUCUUCCGCAAUGGACGCAAGUCUGACGGAGCAACGCCGCGUGAGUGAAGAAGGUUUUCGGAUCGUAAAACUCUGUUGUUAGAGAAGAACAAGUGCUAGAGUAACUGUUAGCGCCUUGACGGUAUCUAACCAGAAAGCCACGGCUAACUACGUG